UUGAAAUCAUGUGAAUGACAAUGUUGCAAUCUCAGACUGGGAUGAGUAAAUCCUUUCCAUUUUGCAGGAUUUCCCAAUGUGAUUGGCUGCAUUGAUGGCACCCACAUCCCCAUCAUAGCUCCAUCCAUUAAUGAAGGAGACUAUGUGAAUAGGAAGUCAUUCCACAGCAUUAAUGUGCAGAUUAUAUGUGAUGCAGCACAUUUGAUCUCAAAUGUGGAGGCCAAAUGGCCUGGCUCGGUACAUGACUCAAGGAUAUAUCGCGAGUCUACCCUGAGCAACAGAGUUGCAAAUGGAGAGUUUCAUGGCCACCUGCUUGGUGACAGAGGGUACCCAUGCCAGCCCACUCUGAUGACCCCUUACCAUGACCCUGAGCCGGG